CCUACGGGAGGCAGCAGUCGAGAAUCAUUCACAAUGGGGGAAACCCUGAUGGUGCGACGCCGCGUGGGGGAAUGAAGGUCUUCGGAUUGUAAACCCCUGUCAUGUGGGAGCAAAUUAAAAAGAUAGUACCACAAGAGGAAGAGACGGCUAACUCGGUGCCAGCAGCCGCGGUAAUACAGAGGUCUCAAGCGUUGUUCGGAAUCACUGGGCGUAAAGCGUGCGUAGGCUGUUUCGUAAGUCGUGUGUGAAAGGCGCGGGCUCAACCCGCGGACGGCACAUGAUACUGCGAGACUAGAGUGAUGGAGGGGGAACCGGAAUUCUCGGUGUAGCAGUGAAAUGCGUAGAUAUCGAGAGGAACACUCGUGGCGAAGGCGGGUUCCUGGACAUUAACUGACGCUGAGGCACGAAGGCCAGGGGAGCGAAAGGGAUUAGAUACCCUUGUAGUC
rnacentral:rRNA from 1 species